rnacentral:rRNA from 1 species
GAAUUUUAUAUAAAUUUAUUAGAUGAUAUAUUAAUAAAAAAUAUUAAUAGGUUUAUAUUUUAUUGGGAGGAUAAUUAAAUUAAAUAAACUUUAAUAAUAUGAUAAAUCAUUAAUUAAUGAAGUAAAUAAUUAUUGAAUGGCAGUUUAGUUUAAAUAAAAUUAAUUACCUUAGGGAUAACAGCGUAAUAUCUUUAGAGAGAUCUUAUUAAUAGAGAUGAUUGC